rnacentral:rRNA from 1 species
GACGAAGGAUGCAAGCGUUAUCCGGAUUCAUUGGGUUUAAAGGGAGCGUAGGCGGCCUUGUAAGUCAGUGGUGAAAUCUUCCCGCUUAACGGGAAAACUGCCAUUGAUACUGCUUGGCUAGAGUACUGAUGAGGUAGGCGGAAUUGAUAGUGUAGCGGUGAAAUGCAUAGAUAUUAUCAAGAACACCGAUUGCGAAGGCAGCUUACUAAGGGGUUACUGACACUGAGGCACGAAAGCGUGGGGAUCAAACAGG